rnacentral:tRNA from 1 species
CGGAAAAUAGCUCAGCUUGGUAGAGCGCUACGUUCGGGACGUAGAGGUCGCAGGUUCAAAUCCUGUUUUUCCGA